UGGCGGACGGGUGAGUAACGCGUGGAAAACCUGCCGUAUACUGGGGGAUAACACUUAGAAAUAGGUGCUAAUACCGCAUAAGCGCACAGCUUCGCAUGAAGCGGUGUGAAAAACUCUGGUGGUAUACGAUGGUUCCGCGACUGAUUAGCUAGUUGGUGGGGUAAUGGCCUACCAAGGCAACGAUCAGUAGCCGGCCUGAGAGGGUGAACGGCCACAUUGGGACUGAGACACGGCCCAAACUCCUACGGAAGGCAGCAG
rnacentral:rRNA from 1 species